AGAGUUUGAUCAUGGCUCAGGAUGAACGCUGGCGGCGUGCUAACACAUGCAAGUCGAGCGGUAUAUAUCUAAACAAAACUUCGGUCUAGUGAGGAUAUAGAGAGCGGCGGACGGGUGAGUAACGCGUAGGCAACCUGCCCCAUACAGAGGGAUAGCCUCGGGAAACCGGGAUUAAAACCUCAUAACGCGAGAAGUUCACAUGGACUUUUCGCCAAAGAUUUAUCGGUAUGGGAUGGGCCUGCGUCUGAUUAGCUAGUUGGUGGGGUAACGGCCUACCAAGGCAACGAUCAGUAGCCGACCUGAGAGGGUAAUCGGCCACAUUGGAACUGAGACACGGUCCAAACUCCUACGGGAGGCAGCAGUGGGGAAUAUUGCACAAUGGGCGAAAGCCUGAUGCAGCAACGCCGCGUGAGCGAUGAAGGCCUUUGGGUCGUAAAGCUCUGUCCUUGGGGAAGAAAAAAAUGACGGUACCCUUGGAGGAAGCCCCGGCUAACUACGUGCCAGCAGCCGCGGUAAUACGUAGGGGGCAAGCGUUAUCCGGAAUUAUUGGGCGUAAAGAGUGCGUAGGUGGUUUUGUAAGCGCGGGGUGAAAGGCAAUAGCUCAACUAUUGUAAGCCCUGCGAACUGUGAGACUUGAGUGCAGGAGAGGAAAGCGGAAUUCCUAGUGUAGCGGUGAAAUGCGUAGAUAUUAGGAGGAACACCAGUGGCGAAGGCGGCUUUCUGGACUGUAACUGACACUGAGGCACGAAAGCGUGGGGAGCAAACAGGAUUAGAUACCCUGGUAGUCCACGCCGUAAACGAUGAGCACUAGGUGUCGGGGCCGCAAGGUUUCGGUGCCGCAGUUAACGCAUUAAGUGCUCCGCCUGGGGAGUACGCACGCAAGUGUGAAACUUAAAGGAAUUGACGG
rnacentral:rRNA from 1 species